rnacentral:rRNA from 1 species
UAACAAGGAUUCCCCUAGUAACUGCGAGUGAAGCGGGAAAAGCUCAAAUUUAAAAUCUGGCGGUCUUUGGCUGUCCGAGUUGUAAUCUAGAGAAGUAAUGCCCGUGCUGGACCGUGUAUAAGUCUCCUGGGAUGGGGCGUCAUAGAGGGUGAGAAUCCCGUCUUUGACACGGACUACCAGUGCAUUGUGGUAUGCUCUCAAAGAGUCGAGUUGUUUGGGAAUGCAGCUCAAAAUGGGUGGUAAAUUCCAUCUAAAGCUAAAUAUUGGCGAGAGACCGAUAGCGAACAAGUACCGUGAGGGAAAGAUGAAAAGAACUUUGGAAAGAGAGUUAAACAGUACGUGAAAUUGCUGAAAGGGAAACGCUUGAAGUCAGUCGCGUUGGCCAGGGAUCAGCCUUGCUUUUGCAUGGUGUACUUUCUGGUUGACGGGUCAGCAUCAAUUUUGACCGCUGGAAAAGGGCCUGGGGAAUGUGGCAGCUUCGGCUGUGUUAUAGCCCCUGGUCACAUACGGCGGUUGGGAUUGAGGAACUCAGCACGCCGCAAGGCCGGGUUUCGACCACGUUCGUGCUUAGGAUGCUGGCAUAAUGGCUUUAAGCGACCCGUCUUGAAACACGGACCAAGGAGUCUAACAUGCCUGCGAGUAUUUGGGUGAAAAACCCGGGUGCGCAAUGAAAGUGAAAGUUGAGAUCCCUGUCGUGGGGAGCAUCGACGCCCGGACCAGAACUUUUGGGACGGAUCCGCGGUGGAGCAUGUAUGUUGGGACCCGAAAGAUGGUGAACUAUGCCUGAAUAGGGUGAAGCCAGAGGAAACUCUGGUGGAGGCUCGUAGCGAUUCUGACGUGCAAAUCGAUCGUCAAAUUUGGGUAUAGGGGCGAAAGACUAAUCGAACC